ACGCUGCAGCUAAUCCAGUUGCCAAUCUCUCUCUCUCUCUCUCUCUCUCUCUCUCUCUCUCUAUACAUAUUGUUGUAUUUCACUGAAUCUUAGUUCGCAAACGGGCGUCGAUCUUUUGCAAACUGAUUCUAGCCUCACGUUCUCAGAUCGUGAGGCUCAACCCAAGAGACUGCUGGUACUGGCUGGCUUGGAGCUAUAUUACUAAUCCUUCUUGUGCUUUUCAAUACCCUCCUUUAAAUGUGCGUACUGAGGUGUCUUCUGAAUCUGCUCCUCCCCUAUAUCAGUCCGCUGCACCCAUGAGCAAGUUAAAGACCCCCUGCUUUUUUAUUCCGAUGGUUUUUGCAACAAAGGUGACAGAUGCCCUUUUGUACAUGGACCACUUGAAGCUGGUACACCUGCUUGGAAAUCCUCAAAGACAGAUUCUGCAGUCACUGGUGCACCUUCCCUGGAAAAUAAGACAUCCACGGUAAGUGAUGCCAGAUCUGCACCAGUAGAAAUACUUCCUAAUCCAUCUGAAGCUGCUUCCAUGAGAGCAGCAGAACUACAGAUUAAGCCAAAACCAUAUGUCCACUUAUCAGCUCAUACUAACAUCGAGAAUCAAAGUACUUCUCUUGUUUUGUCCACAUUUGAGUGUCAAGAAGCUCCAGUAGUUCGGUCAGAAAUGCUGCUUCUAGGGACAGAUUUAGUACGAAGCAGAUCUCUUGUAUGCACUGAUCAGAGCUUGGAAGAGGAUGCAGUUGAUGGUUUUUUAGAGAGGGAGGAUCGUCUCCUGGUUUUUUAGAGAGGGAGGAUGCGCGCAGUUGAUGGUUUUUCAGAGCUCGGAAGAGGAUCCAGAAUACUUGCUUUCCGUUGAUGGAGAUAGAAGGGGACUAAAUGGUCAUUUCUCGGGGUAUGAUUAUGAAGACUUGGUUGAGGAUGAUCCUACGAAUCUUGAGGCACGAUUGUAUUAUAAGCCAUCCAGAUAUGAUUCUUCUGAUCAAUGAGAGAUUUGACUCCAUCAGAGAAUUUCACAAGCGCUCAAGGGAGAGAAUGUUGGAGCCAAUUUUCCUGCGGAAGAGGAAAUCAUUUCCUGCAAAUUUGGGAGCUGAUGACCAAAGAGGUGGGGAUCUCUGAAACCAUCUUAAGAAACACCGAGGGUUAUUGAUGGUCGACGAGUGACACGUUUCUCAAAAAGGAACAAUACUUCUUUUCUGGCUGAAAGAAUCCUAGAAAGGUCUCAAAAACUUGGGAAUCCGCGACUGUUUGGGAGAUUGAACUCUGAAGUGCAUAGUGAUAGAGUUGAUCAUUUAGCAAGUAUGGGAAUUUGUUAGGUCCAAACAGCCCCAGACAGCAAUAUGUGGAAAAAAGGCGCCUAGACAGAUCUUCUUUCAUCUGAAGUCUCUGGAAAACCAGUUUCAAGGAAGAAGAGAUCCACUGAGGGGAAGUCUAAUGUGUUUUCUGGACAGAAAACUCUUGAUGAAAUCAAAGAAGAGAAGAGAAAUGCCAAACCGAAUGGGAAUUCUUCCGGCAGGCCUGGGAAUUCAAGCAGAACUACAUCAGAAGAGUUUCAGGGUCCUAAAACCCUGAGUGAAAUCCUGAAGGAAAGAAAUAAGCUGGGUUCAGUAAUUGCAGCAGCUAAGCUACUUGAGCAUUAGGAAUCCAAGCCGAAUCAUGGUCAUCAAGUCGAAAGUGAGAACUGCUUUACAAAGUUAACACCGAUAAACAAGUAUUUGCUGCUUCUAGAAGAUGCUCACCAGUUUUCUAAAAUUUUUGAAUUUUUUGAGAUUAUGUUGUAGCUUCAAGAAAUUACUGAGUUAGCAUUACCGGUGCGAGAUAUUUGUUGCUUCCUGAUGUAUAGCUAGAUUUUUUAGGGACUUCAAUGCCUUUUCUCUGUAUGGAUUUUGGUCAUGGCCUGACUACCUAAAUGGUCCUUACAAAAUACAAGUUGUGUCAAUUUCGUCCCUGCAAAA